rnacentral:rRNA from 1 species
GAUGAACGCUAGCGGCAGGCUUAAUACAUGCAAGUCGAGGGGCAGCAUGACUGUAGCAAUACAGUUGAUGGCGACCGGCAAACGGGUGCGGAACACGUACAGAACCUUCCUUCGAGCGGGGAAUAGCCCAGAGAAAUUUGGAUUAAUACCCCAUAGUAUAUUUGAAAGGCAUCUUUUAAAUAUUAAAGAUUUAUCACUUGAAGAUGGCUGUGCGGCUGAUUAGGUAGUUGGCGGGGUAACGGCCCACCAAGCCUGCGAUCAGUAACUGGUGUGAGAGCAGAACCAGUCACACGGGCACUGAGACGCGGGGCCGACUCCUACGGGAGGCAGCAGUAAGGAAUAUUGGUCAAUGGACGAAAGUCUGAACCAGCCAUGCCGCGUGGAGGAUGAAGGUCCUCUGGAUUGUAAACUUCUUUUAUAUGGGACGAAAAAAGACUUUUCUAAGUCGUCUGACGGUACCAUAUGAAUAAGCACCGGCUAACUCCGUGCCAGCCGCCGCGGUAAGAC